rnacentral:lncRNA from 1 species
CAAAGUGCUGAGCAUGGGGCCUGGCUCAUAGAAAGUAUCAAAUAAGUGGUAGACAAGUUGUCAUUUUCACUUGUGGUUGAUAAUUUCCACUUUUGCCUUUCUGCAGCCCAGAGACAGAAGCAGAUAAUGCAAGUGUCAUCUACAUCUGGCAAAAGCCAAAGGUUUGGAAGAUGGAAAAAGGAAUCCAGGCAAAAAGGAGCCCAAGAUUGAAGUGAAUGACCAGCGGGAGGAGCAGGGAUCUAAGACUUGGAGAUCAAAUGUCAAGCUCAGAAGAAAGACUGGAAGUUUGGGGACAAAACCCAAAUAUGGCUAAAGAAAGCCUGUAGGAUGAAGUUGGAAGUUCCAGAGCCUUCUCUUCACAUAAUGGGACAUGCAAGGGGGAAACCAAAUCAAAAGUGUAGAAUGCGUCGCUGGAUGUCUUUGACAUGAUGAGGAAACCAAGGCACAGGGAGAUGAAAUAACUUACCCGAGGUCUUUCGCCUGGCAAAAUGACAGAGCUGGGAUUUGAAUCUAGGCAGUGUGGCUCCAAUUCCACGUUCCUAACCACCAUGCUCUAUCUACUGCUGGCCAGAAAAGAUCCUCCCACAUGAUCCAGUCUUCAAAGCCAGCAAAGGCACGUGCAAGCUUUCUUGUGCUUUGAAUCUCUCUGACUUUCCUUCCGCUACCAGACAGGAAAAACUCUACUUUUAAAGGUUUCACCUAAUUGGGUCAGGCCUACCUGAAUAAUUUUUGUAAUUAAAGUUGACUGACUUGCCACUUUAAUCCCA